rnacentral:rRNA from 1 species
UGGGGAAUAUUGCACAAUGGGCGCAAGCCUGAUGCAGCGACGCCGCGUGGGGGAUGAAGGCCUUCGGGUUGUAAACCCCUUUCAGCAGGGAAGAAGCGAAAGUGACGGUACCUGCAGAAGAAGCGCCGGCUAACUACGUGCCAGCAGCCGCGGUAAUACGUAGGGCGCAAGCGUUGUCCGGAAUUACUGGGCGUAAAGGGCGCGUAGGCGGCUUUUUAAGUUAGAUGUGAAAACCCGGGGCUUAACUUCGGACGUGCAUUUAAAACUGGAGAGCUUGAGUGCAGGAGAGGUAAGUGGAAUUCCUAGUGUAGCGGUGAAAUGCGUAGAUAUUAGGAGGAACACCAGUGGCGAAGGCGACUUACUGGACUGUAACUGACGCUGAGGCGCGAAAGCGUGGGGAGCAAACAGG